AAUCAUACACAUUUAGCAACCCAAAAAUUUAUAAGACAAACUGUAACCAAACUAGUAACUCAAAACAAAGCUUAAUCAAAAUUUACCGCAAGGUUAAUUAUAAUUAUAAAUUUUAGAAGUGAUACAUCCACCUACCUUUUGCAUAAUGUAAUUGCAAGAAAAACUAAUUUAAAUUCCCUCCCGAAAAGUGGAGAGCUACUACAGGCAUCAACAUUUAAUGUGACACUAUUAAAAAACAGCCUGUAAUAGCAGCGAAAUACCUAUCGAACCACUUGAUAGCUGGUUGUUCCUAAAAGGCAUAUAAGUGCCUUCUUACAGCCUAAACCAAAUCACUUUUCUGUAAGAAAAACCCUGAGAAGGAUAAGCUUUUCAGAGUCAAUAGAAAUAACAAAACAACGACACUUCAUAUAGGCUUAAAAACAGCCAAAAAUAUCCGUUAUAGGAAAUGACAUUAAAAAUCAAGAUAAAACAAAAAUUCUUCACAAUAAGGAACCUUAUAGAGCAACUUAACCUUCAAUGAACUGGCAAUUAUUAGUAUCUUUAAUAAUACACUCAACAAGUUAACUAUAAAAACAAAUAACAACCAAACAUACCAAUUAUACCUAAUUUACCAUUGGUAAUGAAUUCAGCAAAACUUUUCUCUGCCUGUUUAUCAAAAACAUCGUCUUUUGCCACUUAAAUCUAUAAAAGAUACUGCCUGCCCCAUGAUUAUAAUAUUUAAUGGCCGCGUUACCCCGAGCGUGCUAAGGUAUCGUAAUAAACAGCUCCCUAAUUAGGAGCCAGUGAAUGGCCAAACAGAGAAAAACUUUAUCACCAAUGAUAAGAAAAAUUUUCCUCUAAGUGAAAAGACUUAGAUAAAAGAAAAAGACAAAAAGACCCCGCGGAACUUCCUUAUAGCUUUAUACAUAAACCAGACUUAUGCUUAUAGCUAAUUGGUUGGUUGGGGCAACCUUGGAGCAAACAAAACCUCCAAACUUCUAACAAACCCAUAAAAAACUUGAUAUGGACUACAAUCGCAGUUACCCCGGGGAUAACAGCGUAAUCCAGUUUAAGAGUACGAAUCGAAAAUUGGGUUUGCGACCUCGAUGUUGGCUUAGGGAAAGCAAUUUGGCGCAACCGCUAAACUACAAUGCCAGUCUGUUCGACUGCUAACUCCCUACACGAGCUGAGUUAAGACCGGCGAGAGCUAGGUUGGAUUCUAUCUUUUCUUUAAAUAAGAUUCUUUAUUGUACGAAAGGACCCAAAGAAGCACACACAGUGCCUUAGUAAACAAUACAACCACUAACAUAAAAUUUA
rnacentral:rRNA from 1 species